GAAACAGACAAGGUUAUGUAGGAUGGUGAUCAUGACUGGAAAGGAAUCAGAUGACCCAUGAUGAAGUGCCAGAUUGGAGAACAAAAUGUGCCUCUAGGAUGGUUGGUGAAGCUGUACAUUCACAAGAAAGUAGAUGUGGGGAGGACAGAGCUCAUUCUGUGCCUGCAUUUUCUCAGUUGCCUUAAGCUGAAAAUAAUCAUUAUGUCAGAGUGGCAUAGUUUGGGGUUAUGUGCUCUGAACCCCUUCAAAUGAAAUAAUGAAUUUAGAUGGCCUAAAUCAUAACAUAUACACAUACACACACAAGAUAGCCAGAAAUUAUAUUUCCGGAUGGAGUAUACAAUCUGCCUUUGGGGUGGUCUUACCAAAAAGUCAGAUAUGGAUCUUAUUUAGUCUCUAGAUUUAACUAUCAAUUAACAAAAAAUACAGAGGACAGAGGUGCAUGUUGGAUAACAGCACAGGAAAAAAAACCCAGACUGUGAGAACUCGACAAGACAGGUGAAUUUUUUUUUCAACAAAUAAAUUGCAAGGAAAAACAGAUGGAGAAAAAAAUCAUUAGAAUAAAAGAGAUAUUAGAGAUAAAUCAACCAAGUGUACUAUAGAAGCCUUAUUUGGAUCCUUCUAACUGUUUAAAAAAUUACGAUCAGCUAAAUUUGAUCAUUGACUGGGUAUUUGAUGACAUUAAGGAAGUAAAUGUUAACUUAGGUGUGAUGUAAAAGAGUCCUUAGAGAUGCAUUCUGAAAUACUGACAAAAUGAAAUACAGUGACUAGGAUUUGCUUCAAAAUAAUUUACAGAGGGGUUGGACUGGGUGCAGAUAAGACACUAGUGGCCAUAAAUUGAUAAUUACUAGAGACAGGCAAUGAGUACAUGUGGCUUUUUAUUAUAAUGCCCUUCUCUCCACUUUUGUAUAUAUUUAAAUUCUCCGUAAUGAAAAGUUAACUAUCUGUAUUUGAAAUAGAGGAAAUAAAAAUGCCAAUUUAAAAGGUAUUUAUGCCUCUGUGAAAUAAAAUGUUUUCUUAGA